GGACGUUUCACAGUCAGAAUGCCUGUAGGGUUAAGGCAGAUGGCAUGGGUUCUACUUAUCGACGAAGAUUUCCGCUGCUUGUGUUUCAUUUGAUGUUCAGCCCUUAAGGCUUUAUCAAUGUAAGACUUGACCAUAAUGGUCAUAAUUUGUGUAAGACGGUAUGUAUGGAUGUAAGACUCUUGUUAUUCAGCUUCUGUGUGUUCAGUGAGCAUUGAUCUCUGGGAUCACUGUACACGUGCAUUCGGUGAUCUCGACUUAUGAGUCGGGGUCCCCUCAGAGCUGGUAUCAGAGCCAUCCUGACUGUAGGAAGCCUUAGUUAGCAUGGACGUUAGUUAGCUUGAGACCAUCUAAACUUCUCUUCUUUUCUAAAGCUUACCCAACCCAAGGUAUAUUUCCCUUAUUGACCCCUCCCAUUAAACCUUUGUAGAUGGUUGCCGUACCCGAAGACUUCCUGACCACCGGAUUUCCCAUGCUUCUCGAGGAUAGCCUCAAGAAGUGCCAGUUUUACCGAGCCCCCAUUUUCACCUACCAUGAGAAUUGGAUCAAUGACACCGAGAUGGUGUAUCAUGUGAAAGUGAUCGUGAAGGCCAAUGACUCUCCAACAAGCUGGUUCUUCGAGGGACCCCAGAUGGCAACACUAGUUCCUGCCGUCGAGACAGCAACCCUCAAGGCACUCACCCGCCUCCGAGACCUUCUUCCAGAGAUGGCAGACGAGUUGGCAACCCGCUUCUUGCCUUAUCGAAAGGAAGGUGAGGAUGAGAGCAGUGCACCAGCUCCACCAUUAGAAGAAGGACUUCCACUCCGAUUCCAGACCUACUUCAGCCUUUGUGCCGAUAGUUUGGCACAACACUUGGCCUCGGAAUCAAUGGAGCUUCGAAAGGAACUUCAUGAGACCAAGGCACUUCUUCUCCAAGCUCAAGUGAAGACGGAUAGGAUCAAGAAGGAAGGUGCUCCCCCUGGACAGCCCGCAAUCGCAUACAGAGGUGGAAGACCCCCAAAGGAUGGAGAACCACCACAGCAACACCGCAUGAGCACAAGGGAAUACCGCAAGCUCUUCGCACCACCAGCAAAGCAACGCCGUGUUGAGCUCCUCAACUCCCCCACCCCUUCAAGUGAAGAGGAAAGUCAGGAUGCUGAUGAUGAGGAGGAAGACCCAGAAGAGCCAGACUACGCGACCGAGCAUUCCACCACUUAGGCAUCAUUCGCACCUUGAAUAUGCCCGUUAGUAACCCCUACGGUAGGAUAGGUCGUGUACCCCUAUGCGAAGUCGAGUCCUUGUAAUGGUUCAUAUGAAACCAUGUAGUGUGUGCUUUUGAUGUGUUUGAUGGAUGUCGUGCUUUUCUUCGGGAACUUGUAAGCGACUACAUCACCCAUUUGGACUUUAAUGAAUGUGUUUGGCCCUUUUGGCCCUUGCAUGAAACAAUUAGUGUCAUACCAACCCCCUUACUAGGCGUCCCAUCUAUAUUGCUUUCCCCAUCUUUUCCCAAUCAUGAGACCUUGACCACUCCAACAGGAUGCCUGUUGUAACACGUACUGGUACCUCUACCCAGCAGCAAGAAGCCGGAGGUUCUGCUGAAGCAGGAGUCAGCCAGGACCAAGCCCAAGGACACACUCCACCCCCACCACCUCCUCCAAGCAUGGACAUGGCUCAGCUUCUCCAAGCCUUCCGAGAGGAAUGCCAAGCCAACACUGCAGCCCUUCAGGUGAUUGCUCAAGCUGUCAAUUGCCAGCCGGCGGGACACGGCAAUGGACGGUCCAUGUUGGUGGAGUUCAAGAAGCAUGCACCACCCACCUUCAUCGAGACUGCUGAACCCUUGGAUGCAGACGACGGGGUCCACACCAUUGAGGACUUGUUGGAACUAGUCGGCUGCACUGAAGACCGUGAGAGGGUGGCAUAUGCUGCCCACUGUCUCGGGGGAACUGCCAGAGCUUGGUGGGAUGGAUUCAAGGCCAUGCAUGCUGAGCAAAACAUCACUUGGAAUGACUUCAAGGCAGAAUUCCGCAAGGCCCAUAUUCCUUCUGGAAUCAUGGCCAUCAAGAAACGUGAGUUCCGAGCCCUGAAGCAAGGAAGUAGCACUGUCAAGGAGUACAUGCAGAAGUUCAGUGUUCUCUCAAGGUAUGCCCCUGAGGAUGUCAGCACUGAUGCUGCCAAAAAGGAGCGCUUCAUGGAAGGCCUUAACCAGACUCUGCAGUACUCGCUUGUUGUGUGUGACUGCCCGACCUUUCCUGAUCUGGUGAACAAGGCACUCAUGCUUGAGGACAAGCGACGUGCUUUGGAUGAUACCCAUAAGCGCAAGAUGAUCAGCAAGGGUAGCUCCAGCAACCAGAAGCCUCGCCCGUGGCAGCCAGCCCCGGUCAAGCUAACCUAUCAGCAGCCAAGAGCUCCUGCACCCUGCACCAACUAUCCACCUCAGUAGUAUGCCAACCCCAGGCCAGGUUACAACAACCCCAAUAACAAUGCUGGCAGAAGCAGCAACCCCAACCAAGUCACUUGCUUUGGAUGUGGUCAACCAGGACACUACUCCAAGUAUUGCCCCAACAAGAAGCCUGACACCCCGCGCCCCAAUGCGCAGAACCUAGGACAAGGCCGUGGAAUGCCACCAAGGAACCAAGCUCCCCGCAACCUGCCCAACAACGGCAAGGGUCGUGUGAAUCAUGUCACUGGAGAAGAAGCCCAGGAAGACCCGGACGUCGUGCUGGGUACGUUCCUUGUCAAUUCAGCACCUGCAACUGUCUUGUUUGAUUCUGGAGCCACGCAUUCAUUUGUCACCCAAAAGUUUGCAUUAAAAAGUGGCAUGACCCCUACACCCCUGAGAAACCCUAUGGUGGUACAAAUCCCCGGAGCAGAGAUGAGAGCCAAGAUAGGAUGUAAAGGAGUCCGGAUUAUCAUUAACGGGGUAGACUUCCUAGCAGACCUUAUCAUCUUAGGAUCACAAGGCUUGGAUGUGAUCUUAGGAAUGAAUUGGCUCAUCAAGCACCAAGGCUUGUUAGAUUGCGCCAACCGGACUGUCACUGUGACCAAUGAGCAAGGAGUCGAAGUCAAAAUUGCCUCCAACCCCUCCUCUGCUCAAGCCAACCAAGUCAACUGUCUGACUGAAGUUGGAUUGGAGCAAGUGCCGGUAGUACGCGAAUACCCUAAUGUUUUUCCUGAUGAGCUACCGGGAAUGCCUCCUGACCGAGACAUUGAGUUCAUCAUCGAGCUCAUGCCCGGAGCAGGACCCAUCUAUAAGAAGCCUUAUAGAAUGGGAUCGGAGGAGUUGGCAGAAUUGAAGAAGCAACUGGAAGAGCAGUUGAGAAAGGGAUUUAUUUGCCCUAGUGCCUCCCCUUGGGGAUCACCUGUUCUGUUUGUGGCAAAGAAGGACGGUACCAUCCGCUUGUGCAUUGACUACCGCUCCCUCAAUGAAGUUACAAUCAAGAACAAGUAUCCACUUCCCAAGAUUGAAGAUCUGUUUGAUCAACUCAAUGGGGCCAGGGUGUUCUCCAAGAUCGACCUCAGAUCUGGGUACUACCAGCUGAAAAUCAGACCCCAAGAUAUUCCGAAGACGGCGUUUGUAACCAGAUAUGGCUUGUAUGAGUGCACGGUCAUGUCCUUUGGAUUGACCAAUGCCCCAGCUUACUUCAUGUAUCUCAUGAAUAAGGUCUUCAUGGAAUAUUUGGACAAGUUUGUCGUUGUCUUCAUUGAUGACAUUCUUGUCUUCUCGAAGACGGAAGAAGAGCACGAGCAACACUUGAGGAUGGUCCUAGACAAGCUUCGAGAGCACCAACUGUACGCCAAGUUCAGCAAGUGCGAAUUUUGGCUGCGUGAAGUUGGAUUCUUGGGUCAUGUUUUGACCGAAGAAGGAUUGUCGGUCGAUCCCGCUAAGAUUGAAGCCAUGACUGAAUGGCAAUCCCCAAGCAAUGUGAAGGAAGUCAGAAGCUUCCUCAGACUCGCGGGAUAUUACCGCAAGUUCGUUGAAGGAUUCUCAAGCAUUGCCCGACCCAUGACUCAGCUCUUGAAGAAGGACAAGAAGUUUGAAUGGACGCCGAAGUGCGAAGAGAGCUUCCAGGAGCUGAAGAGGAGACUGACCACCGCCCCAGUUCUGGCCACACCAGAUAUACACAAGGAGUUUGUGAUAUAUUGUGAUGCAUCAAGAACCGGACUGGGAGGUGUUCUGAUGGAAGAAGGCGGAGUCGUAGCUUACCUUUCAAGGCAACUACGGCCUCAUGAAGAGAACUAUGCUACUCAUGAUCUUGAGUUAGCACCAGUGGUUCAUGCCCUGAAGACAUGGCGACAUUACCUCCUAGGGAAGCGGUGUGAGAUAUACACGGAUCACAAAAGUCUGAAGUAUAUUUUCACUCAAAAGGAAUUGAACAUGAGGCAAAGAAGAUGGCUAGAGUUGAUCAAGGAUUAUGACCUCAGUGUUCAAUACCACCCUGGGAAGGCUAAUGUGGUAGUUGAUGCAUUAAGCAGGAAGGCUUGUUCCUUGAAUGCUAUGCUUAAGAACAAGCUACCCGCCUUGUAUGAAGAACUUGAAAGCUUCGGGUUGGAACUGGUUGCACCAGGAUUCUUGGCCAACCUCGAAGUUAGGCCUACCUUGAUGGAUGAUAUUAAAGAAGCUCAGAAGGGACAUGAAAGUAUUGAAGGCAUCAAGAGGAAGAUCAAGGCAGGCAAGGCCCCAGGAUUCUCAGAGGAUGAGAAAGGAAUUGUGUGGUUUGGGAAUCGCAUUUGCGUACCCAACAAGGUUGAGCUCAAGAAUCUGAUCUUGCAAGAAGCUCAUGACACCCCGUAUUCCAUCCAUCCUGGAGGAACCAAGAUGUAUCAAGACCUGAAGGAAAGAUUUUGGUGGCACGGGAUGAAAAGGGAGAUUGCCACCUAUGUCGCAAAGUGUGAUGUAUGCCAAAGAGUCAAGGCUGAAUAUCAGCGACCUGCUGGAUUGCUCCAACCACUCAAGGUUCCCGAGUGGAAAUGGGAUAAAGUCGGAAUGGAUUUCAUCACUGGACUACCUAGGUCAAACAAGGGACAUGACUCCAUCUGGGUCAUAGUCGAUCAUUUGACCAAAGUAGCCCAUUUCAUUCCUGUUAAGACUACCCAUGAUGGCAACCAGCUAGCAACUCUAUACAUCAACAGGAUUGUGAGCCUUCAUGGUGUUCCCAAGGAGAUUGUGUCAGAUCGAGGAACCCAAUUUACCUCAAGGUUCUGGAAGAAGUUCCAAGAGGCCAUGGGGACCAAGUUGUCCUUCAGCACUGCUUUCCACCCACAGACUGGAGGUCACACAGAACGAGUAAAUCAGAUACUCGAAGACAUGCUCCGAACAUGUGUCUUAGCAUAUGGAGCUAGGUGGGAAGAUUGCCUCCCCUUCGCCGAGUUCUCUUACAACAACAGUUAUCAGUCAAGCCUUCAGAUGGCACCAUUUGAGGUGUUAUACAGACGGAAGUGCCGCACACCCCUCAAUUGGUCAGAGACUAGAGAAGGACUUGUCUUUGGGCCCGAUAUCCUCCGUGAAGCAGAAGAGAAAGUCCAGCUUGUCAGAGAGCAUUUGAAGACUGCCAAGUCAAGGCAGAAGAGCUACGCUGACUCACGUCAUAGAGACGUAAACUUCUGAGUUGGAGACCAUGUCUACCUCCGGGUCACACCUCUCAACGGAACCCAGUGCUUCCAUGUCAAAGGAAAGCUCUCCCCAAGAUACAUCGGCCCCUUCAAGAUCACUGACCGACAAGGGGAAGUGGCUUACCAGUUGGAACUGCCACAUGAACUAUCCGAUGUGCACAAUGUAUUCCAUGUGUCACAACUCCGGAAGUGUCUCCAAGUUCCAGAAAAGCCUGAUCUUUACAAGGACGUCAAUCACCAAGCCAUUGACCUUCAGCCUGAUUUGACUUACCGUGAGAGACCUAUCUGCAUUCUGGAUGAGGCUGAGCGACACACUCGAAGCCGCACCAUCAAGUAUUUCAAGGUCUAGUGGAGCAACCACACUGAAGCUGAAGCAACUUGGGAGCGUGAAGACUACCUUAGAUCCGAGUUUCCGUACCUCUUUAAAGCCUAGUCUAGGAAUCUCGGGGACGAGAUUCUUGUAAGGGGGGUAGGUCUGUCACACCCUGCAUUUUGUAACAUUUCAUUUGCAUUAUUAAAGCAUGAAAAUUUGGACCAACAAAAACUUUUGCAUUAUUUGGCUUUUAUUUGGAGUUGGUUUUCUCUCUGUGAUUCUUUUCAAGUGCUCUUUAAAGUCAACUACUCCACCUUCUGUACUUCAUCUCCUUGCCCCAAACUUCUGCCCAAUGACCAUGCCAUGUGUACAGUGCAACAUAGUAUUUUCUUACAAAAAUAAUUUGGCCAAAAAGUAUUUUCAAAAAUUAGUUUUCCAAAAACCCCUAAAUUGAGGUUUGCACUGCAAGUACUUGAUUUGGGGUAUGAAAAAUAUUUCAAAAAGUAUAUUUGAGACCUAUUAGAUAUAGGACUCCCAUAAACCACAAAAAUAUAAUUUUAAAAACUAUUUUCCUAUUUUAUUUAAAAGCUUUUUCUUAAGGCCAAAAAUGGUCUUUAAUAGGAAAAAAUUAUUUUAUUGUUUCAAAAAAAUUUGACAAAAAUCAGGGAAACUCAGUGGACAUAUAUUUUCCAUAUAUAAGAGUUUCAACACAUGGUCAUGUUCGAAAUAUUGGACAAAACCUCCCAAAACCAUUUCUGCCCAUUUCAAGGAUUUGAAAUAUUUAUACAGGAAAUAUAUUCACAAAAAUCCAAGAAAAAUCCAGCAAGUCACAAAUGCAUAUUGUGAUCACCUUGCAAAGCGUCAUGUCAAUUAAAGUCAUUUUGGUUCACCAAAAUUCCCCAAAACCCUCUCUGACCAGAUUCAAAUUUGAACAACUUUGUGCUACCAACUUUCUCUCCUUGACCCCAACUUUGGUGAGCAUGUUCACAUGACAAAAUGAGGCCACUAAAGCAAGUGGUGCAUCAAGGAGAAGUGAUUUUCUCAACUAGAUCUACACAAGUCUAUUUCUGCUCAUUUCUAGGGUUUACAAAAGUUGCAUUGGCAACUUUGCCCAAAUAAGCUCUAAAUUGGUGGAAGGCCAUAUUUAUAUGUGUCAUUUCACCCUGUGGAGUCUCAUGGCAUUUGGAGUUCAUUUGCUUAACCAAACAAGCAUCAAACACCUUUUGCCACUUUACCAAAAUUCCAUUUUUGACCACUUCCACUAAUCUCCAUGACCUCCACUUUUUACCACAGAUCCUCCUAGACCCCUUUCACCUCCAGUAAAAAUGGCAAAUCCACAGCUCACUUAUUGGAGGGGUAAAAUCUCUCUCUCCCUCUCUGGACAGCCACUUUCUCUCUCUAUCUCACCUGACGUGGUCGACGUCCAGGAACACCCCAGACACCACGCCUGCUUCCCCCGAGCCCUGCAGCGACAAGCGUGAGCUCGCCGGCGCACGGGUCUACUGGACCUUGCCGUUUGCCUAUUUAAAGGCCUCCCCGAGCCCUUCUCUCCUCACCACUCGCUCUCUGCACCACCAAACCCUCCCCCUGCACCCCCAGUUCCUCUCCAGAGCCGCCUGAGCUUGAGAUCGAGCUCGAGCUCCACCGUUUCGGCUCGCCAGAGUUCGCGAGGUAUAGGCCUCCCCCGCUCCUCCUCUGCCUCGAUCUGGAAUCCCUGCAUUCCCCUGACCCUUUUCCCCUUGUUUCCCCUCUCUAUAGCUGUUGCAAACGGCCAGAGCCACCGCCUCCCGAAGCUCCUCCGUCGCAGCUUCUCGUCGCCGGCGAACCAGGCACCCCCGCCGGCCAAGCCCACCAGCCACCGAUGUGCGGCAGUCUCCUGAAGCCAUCCCCGCACUCGCCGGAGCUCGCCGUGGCCUGCAUCGUCGCCGGUGAGCACCGCGUCCCCCCUGUCCAUGGGUUAGUGAUGACAUAUGUCCAAAUAAAUUAAUUCCAAAUCCUAAAUUUCUAGAAUAUUGCAACCUAUUUAAUGGUGCAACUUUCAUUCAAAUCCAGCAACCUUUUCUUCACUGUAAAUAUUUAAAUGUGAUUUUAAGCAUUUAAAUAUGCCCUUGUAAAUCCAUUUCUCCUAUUCUGCUACACCAAAUCCAAAACUAGGAAUUUUCCCCUUCUUAUUUUUCAACCUAGUAUUUUACAAAAAUGAGUUGACAUUUUUCUGAGCACUUUGGUUUUCUGUUUUAUUAUUGCCUUAUUUUUCUCUCGUUAUUAUUCUGCGACGAUAGAUUGCGUUGCUGACGAAGGAGUUGGACCAGAAGACUUUGAAGACCCAGAAGACUUUGUUGAGCCAGGCAAGCAGCCCUUUGACCAUGUCUAUGAAACCCUUUUUAUGCAUGUCAUAUAGCACCAUAUUGUUGUUGCAACGGAAUCAUGAUGAGGUGGUACCCACGUUGAUGGUUUGCCACCGUUAAUUCCUUGUUGAUACAUGCAUUGUGCAUGAACCUACCUUCUUAUGAGGGUUAUGCUGGUGGGAGUAGAUAGGAUGCUAAAGUAGAUGCUAUGCAAAAAGGGACGGGUAUAUGCAUGGUGAAGGAGGCAAAGUAUUUUCAAAGGACUUUUCGAAAACCCCAUCGGGUGCCACUUAUGCCCGAGGGAGAUGAUGAGAUGGGUAACCACUUGAUGACGAAGUGGUGUACCGAGGCAAGUGUGUGUGUUGUUUUCGAAAACGGAUUAGAUUUAAGAUUUGAUGACUGUCCCAACCUUACAUGCGCAACUACUCUACCCUUAUAUGGGAAAGGGCAUUAUUGAGUACCUAGACCGAUACUAGCUUGGAGCCCGCAUUACUAGUGACGGGAGAGUUGUUGGUGCGCUCUCUCGGGACGGGGUCGUGCCAGGUAGGGCAGCCAAGAACAUUUUUAUGGGGCACCGGACACACUGUUGGUACCCCGUGCUUGUGAUGUGAGAUGAUUAUGGAGCGUGGCUCCACGAAAAUGUUAUGUGACAAUGUUGAGCACGGGGGUUACUACCAAUCGAGUGGACUCCAUGUUAGUGUCGUCUAGGGAAAGGUAGUGAUCGGGUGCUUACCCCGGGUACUUGAGGUAUCGCGGGUCGUGGAUGACACAGAAGUUCCCCGGAUCUUGUGGGUACAGUGUGCAACCUCUGCAGAGUGUAAAACUAUUCGAAUAGCCGUGUCCACGGUCAAGGACGGUUGGGCGAUGCUACUUAAACUAUGUCCAGAGUUUACAAACUAGUGUGUGUGUUUGGAUAACUACUUGGGUCAAGUCAAAGGACUUGACGUAAUUGAGAUGGGUUGGUGCCCACUCUAUUUAUGUUGAUAUCUGUAACUGUCCUCAUGGUUACUUGAAUUCUCUUGAUGCAUGUCUUACAAGUUGUUGAACAUGUCAUUGCACUCAAAACUAGCUUUCUGCAAAAAUUUACCUAUAUCAUGCAUUACUGUAUCUUGAACCAAAACAUGGGUUGCUUGCGAGUACAUUCAAAGUACUCAUUGGCUUGCCACUGGUUAUUUAAUUGACCAGGCAUGGAAGAGCCGGAGUUCGAAGAAGAGUUCUUUGGUGACAAACAUGCGAACUAGGAUGUUUCACAGUCAGAAUGCCUGUAGGGUUAAGGCAGAUGGCAUGGGUUCUACUUAUCGACGAAGAUUUCCGCUGCUUGUGUUUCAUUUGAUGUUCAGCCCUUAAGGCUUUAUCGAUGUAAGACUUGACCAUAAUGGUCAUAAUUUGUGUAAGACGGUAUGUAUGGAUGUAAGACUCUUGUUAUUCAGCUUCUGUGUGUUCAGUGAGCAUUGAUCUCUGGGAUCACUGUACACGUGCAUUCGGUGAUCUCGACUUAUGAGUCGGGGUCCCCACA
rnacentral:lncRNA from 1 species